AACGAACGUUAGCGGCGCGCCUAACACAUGCAAGUCGCACGAGAAAGGGCUUCGGCCCCGGUAAAGUGGCGCACGGGUGAGUAACACGUAGGAAACCUUCCCUCGAGCGGGGGAUAACGUCCCGAAAGGGGCGCUAAUACCGCAUAUGCCCACGUCUUCUUCGGGAGAUGAGGGGAAAGCUGGCCUCUGUAUACAAGCUAGCACUCGAGAAUGGUCCUGCGGCGCAUCAGCUAGUUGGUGGGGUAACGGCCUACCAAGGCGAAGACGCGUAGCUGGUCUGAGAGGAUGAUCAGCCACACUGGCACUGAAACACGGGCCAGACUCCUACGGAGGCAGCAGUGGGGAAUAUUGGACAAUGGGCGCAAGCCUGAUCCAGCCACGCCGCGUGAGUGAUGAAGGCC
rnacentral:rRNA from 1 species